UAAAUCUAUCCUAUCUCAUUUUCUCUCUCUCAACUCUUUCUCCCAGCCGCACCCUUUCUCUUCUAAACUCUCUGUCUCCCUCACAUCUAUCUAUCCUAUCAACUCUCUCUCUAAGUCUCCUUUUUCUCUUGUAGGUGGCUGGCGCGGGAGGCUCAACGGAGAUGGCGAUGGGUAUAUACAGUCUAAAAUUACUUCUAUAGUAGUGUGUGUAUAUAUAUACUCUUGUAUUGUAGUGAAAAUAAUAGUUUGUUAGCAUUGAAACAAGUCAAAGAAUCAUUCAGACUUCACAUUGAUUCGUGAUUUUUUUUUGUACUCGGAUAAGUUGGUGAACGGGAUAAAUAGGUACAAACGGGAUAAAUAGGUCAUAAACAUUUCCUUAUCCCUAAUCUACGACCAGACUCUAUUUUGAAAAGUCAAAGUCAUCUCAAUUUAUCUUUGCCAUCUCUAAAUAUUUUCAAGAGGUAGAACUCAAGUUGGAGUCCUAGAGGGCAAGAUACGUUUAAUUUAAUAAAGGUAAACUCACUUAUCUUUUGAUCUAUGUUUUCAUUGUCAUGAGUAAUUUCUACUUAGUAGUGCAACUAAAAUAAAUAUUUUUCUAUGUUCUUUCAUGGCUUAGAAAUGACUUUUGAGUGUUGGAAAUCUAGGUUGAGAACUGAAUAUAUAAAACUACAUUCAAACUAGUUAAGGCGAGCUUUAUGUGGGGUGUUCUUGAAUUUGAGUUGAGAAACUAAUAUAUUUUGUUGUAACUCUUGAAAUUACAACUCUAAGUUAGGCAGUGACUUAGAAAUCCAAACUCUAAGUCAGUUAGACAUAGUUUCAAGUGUGUGUCUAAGGAUAUGUUAACCCUGUCGUCUAUGCUUAUAACUCUGAUUAUUUUUGUUUUAGAUAUGAAUUUAUUGUUUUUUAUUUCUCUGUUUUGGGUCUUGUUUAGUAUCACACUAUUUAUUAAACAUUAUUUCUGGUUUGAUUCUUAUUUUUUUUUUAUCAAGAAGAAAGAAACACUUUAUUAAACAAACAGACAAAUACAAACAAGGGCAGACCGCCCAAACAACAGCCAAGAACGCAGCCAAGAACUCAGCCAAACUAGUACCAAACCUCACUCUACAUACAUUGGAGCUUUCUUAUGAAAAGCUUGAGAUGAGGUAAAAACUUCCUAUUAGGAACAAUGUAUAAUCUGUACUUGACUAAAGUAAUCACUUCCUUUGCUAUACAGUUUGCUGUCAAAGAGAACCCAUCAAAAAUGCAUCUAUUCCUAUUCUUCCAUAUAUGAUAAAUCACUGCAGCUAAAACCAUAUUCAGAAUAAUGUCCAUAAUGUCAUUCUGCCCAACACUGAGCCGAACAGUCCAAUCAGAAAACUUGGUGGCCCAAGCUUGAAACCCAAGCCAAGAAAAAAUACAAGACAAGACCCUCUUGGAAAGGUAGCAGUCAAAAAACAAAUGGUCAUGACUUUCUAAUUGGUCUUCACAAACUGGGCAGUAUAGGCUAUUCAACUGUAUGUUGAACUUAGCCAAAUUGUCUCUAGUUAGGAGGUAAGAAUUGACCACCAUCCAUAACAAGAAUCGAUGCUUAGGGAGGAUUGUUCGGCACCAAACUGCGUUCUUAUAAGCCACAAGUUGCUGGUUUAUUGAGCUGUUAUACAGCUUGGACGUCUUGAAUUUCCCAGAAAUGCCAGCAGCAAUCACCUCUCUUUCACUGAACUUGUUCCUUAAAUGGCAGAGUUUCCGCCAAUACCAGCUGCUAUCCUGUUUCAGAACAUAGUUCCAAAAAUUAACCCCCUUCAGGUAAACAUUCUGAACCCAUUUGACCCAAGGUGUGUCUUGUUUAGCAGAGACAGCCCACACAUAUUUAGCUAGAAGCGGUCUGUUAUAGCUAGCCCCAUCUCUGAGCCCGAGCCCUCCAUAAGCCUUAGGAAGGCAUACUUGCUGCCAAGAAGCUAAAUGGAGUUUACUACGAGUCCCUGAGGCCCCCCACAGGAACAAUCUGCAUAAUUUCUCAACCUCCUUGACGAUACUUUGAGGCAAAAUAAACACAUUCAUCCAGUAGUUUCUCCAGCCAAAUAGGACAGUAUGAAUGAGCAAUAACCGGCCAGCAUAGGAUAAAUGCCUACUAGACUAAGAAAACAGCUUAAUUCUUAUUUUAUGAACAAUGAUCUCACAAUCCUCAUGUUUCCAUUUAGUUGGCCUCAUAGGAACCCCAAGAUAAUAAAGAGGAAAGCUCCCCUCAGGAAGUUGAAUGGCCUGAGUUAUCACUCUUCUAUCCGCUGCACUAACUCCUCCAAAAUAGAUAUGAGACUUCUUGGAAUUUAUUGACAGCCCAGAAGCUUCACUAAACUUCCCUAGAGCAUCCUUAAGAAUACUUACAGUCGUAAGAGAGCCUUUGCAAAACAGAAUAAUAUCAUCUGCAAAACACAAGUUGAGAAGCUAUAGGCUCUUACACAGGGUGAAAACGAAAUAAUGAAGACCUGGCAGCCAAUUGAAAACUUCUUGUCAUAUAUUCCAUAAUGAGCACAAAGAGAAGAGGGGACAUAGGAUUCCCUUGGCGCAGGCCCUUUUCCCCCUUGAAUCUACUCUGAACUCUACCAUUUAUCAAUAAAGAAUAGGUAGUGUUCCUGAUACAAGUCAUAAUCCAGCCAAUGAACUUACUAGGAAAACAGUAAGCCCUCAAAAGAUCUUCCAAAAAUUGCCAGUCAACAGUGUCAUAAGCCUUACUGAGGUCAAUCUUAAUUGCACAGCGAGAAGAAGUAAUAGCCCUUCCAUAAUUCUUGAUUAGAUCCUGAAGAAUCAUUAUAUUAUGAGCAAUCGACCUACCUCGAACAAACGCACCUUGAUUAGAUUGUAUAAGAAAAGGAAGCACCACUGCCAGCCGAGAACAUAACAGUUUAGCCAUUACUUUAUAAAGAGUCGAACAACAUGCAAUAAUCCUGUAAUCUAAGGCCUGAGCUGGAUUAGGAACCUUAGGAAUCAAUGACAAAGUAGUCUCAUGAAGCUCAUUAGGGAAUUGGCCUGUGGAGAAACCGUGUGUGAUUGCUGAGCAUAUAUCCUGACCAAUAUCCUGCCAAAGAGAUUUAAAGAAACCUGAACCAUAUCCGUCUGGACUAGGCGAUUUAGUAUUAGGGAUACUAAACAAUGCAGCUCUUAUUUCCUUGUUGGAAAAGGGUUUUAAAAGAGAGAGCUGUUGCUCUACUGAAAGCUUAGUGCCCAAAGCUAUACAAUGCAGGUCAACUUUUCCUAUAGUAGAACUAGGACUACCAAGAUAGCUCUUGAAAUGAUCAACAAAAUGGGCUCCCACCUCCUUAAAAUCAUCUAUUAGCAGACCGUGAUCAUUGAUAUAAGAAACUAUAGUGUUCUCUGCUUUUCGCUUCUUCAAAUAGGCAUGAAAAUAUGAGGUAUUCAUGUCUCCCUUCCUAAUCCAGUUUAUCUUACUUUGUUGAGCAAGAAAACUAUGAUACAUGUGUUCUUGUUGAUGAAACUCAGUUGCCCUCUCCUUUACUGCCUCUUGCAACUUGAGAUCAUGAGGAUUCUCUUUGGCUUGAAAUUGAGCAUCUUGAUAGGCCACCAUAGCCGACUGAUAACUGAACCCUACAUCUCCAAUACAGUCCCUGUUAAACUUCUUAAGCCUAUGCUUCAACCUCACAAGCCUGAUAUAAAUUGCUCUCAGACUAGAAACUAUAACAGGGGCCCUCCAAUUGCUCAAGACUACCUGGUUAAAAUUUGAAUGGCCAGACCAGAAAUUGUAAUAUCUGAAAAGUUUGAUUCCCAUAGCCUCAUGGGAAUGUUAGACACUACACAAGAACAAUGAUCGGAGACCACCUCCCAUCUAAAAACAGCCAAAGAUUGAGGAAACAUGUCCAACCAAUCCUCAUUCAUUAACACAUGAUCUAUCUUUGAGUAGAUCCUAGCUGAGCCAUCUUGGUUAUUUGUCCAAGUAAAAUAAGAACCAAUGCUCUUAAGAGCCUCAAUUUUAGCAUCUGUUAGCCACCCUAAAGGAUCAGCCAACUCAAUACUUGAAACAUGUUUACCACCAGACCUGUCCACACCAGAAAAAGGGGCAUUAAAAUCCCCUAAAACUAUCCAGGCUUUGACUGAAAGCGAAAUACGAGUUAAAUCAUGCCAUAAGCUUCUUCUAUUCUCUGCCAAGUUGUAACCAUAGACAAAGGUGACAUGAAAUAAACUCCUCUGGCCUACCAAGUUAAUCUGGCAGUGAACCAGCUGAGGAGACUCCUCCAAAAUAGUCAAUCUCGCUAUCUCUUUCCUCCAAAUUAUUAACAGUCUACCCUCUAUUACCAGACUAGAGUAAAAUUCCCAAUUGGGAAAUUUAUGCUCUAUGAACUCACCAAUUUUAUUCCCCUACAAUUUAGUUUCCAACAAACCACCAAUUCCAAUCUUAUUCCUUCUACAAACAUCUUGGACUGAACUUUGUUUAUUCGCAUUGUUCAGUCCCCUUAUAUUCCAACUCAGAAUAGAGCACUUAUCCAUUAGAUGAACUACCUCCAAGAUGCCCAACCUUACUACCCUUUUCCUGUUCCUGAAGAACAACAAACUGGUUGAUCUGUUUUUGAGUCUCUACAACCAGGUUAGAGUUACCACCAGUUGUAUGACCCUGUCUACUCUGAGUAGCAACACGCAUAGGAGUUUGCCAUAUCGCUUCCUUGUUCCUCUCCUUAACCGGACCUGAGUCGGCCUUCCCUAAAAGAGUAACCUCGCUAAUAUUCGGAACUGAGUUUUCUACUACUUUAGACCCACCUGCCUGCUCACCUGGUUCCUCUUCAUUAAGCCCCUUAGUAACUUUUGGCUGCUCCAAAGGAACUUCAGCUUUAGAACUAGCUUCUUUUUCCACCCAAAUAGUCUUAUGCUCCUUGCGACAGUCUACCAUAGAAUGCCCAAACCCAGAGCAACUCUUACACUUAGUAGGCAGCCACUCAUACUCUAUUCCUUGUUCAAUAAUCUGGCCAUGCUCAUUGAUAAACUGAAAACUUCGAGGAGGAUUAUCAGUAAUUUCCAUCUCCACUAGAACCCUCGCAAACUGAACUUGAGAACGCUCCCUAGUAAACUUAUCUACUAAAAGAAGUUUGCCUAUCGUGCUCACCAAAGCACUUAUACAUUUUCUACCCCAAUACUGCAGGCCAAGGUCGUGUAGCUAUAUCCAAAGCGGAACCGAACGGAUGAGACGAAUAGCACUAAGGUCUGCUGUCCACGGCCUGAUGAUGACAGGCUUUCUAUCAAAUUGAAGCACUCCAUUAUCUAGAACAUGAUCUCUUGUUGCUUCAUCAUUGAAUUUCACCAAAGUUAGCCCCAAUAUCAUUCUAGAGAUUUGGGCAAUCCCUAGAUGACCCCAGACUCUUUUUAUAAAUUCUUCAAACAAUGCCAUUGGAGGGUUUGCUCCAAGCACCAUGCAAACCACAGCAUAGCUCCAAUUGGCUGACUGAAUUUUCACCUCUUCAAUAUCAACUUGAGCCAGCUUCUGCCCAUUUCUGAAUAUAGGUUCAGUAAAUUCAAGUUUCGGUUCAGAGAAGGAAAGCUUACUCAUUCUAAAUUGUUGCCAUUGAUGCUGGGCCUCUGACUGAAAAUCUCCUUCCGUGACCUUAUCCCCUCCUUCACUCCUAUCUGCCCAAGAAGCAUUCCUCAUAUCUGUAUCCAAUCCAUCGUCCACAACCUCAACAGGCUGGGCACUCUUACACUGUCGAUCCAUUUCACCAGUCUGCAAAACCCCAGACCCAGGCAUUCCUAAUUCCAUCAAAUUGACAUGCUCUUGUUUAGCGAAACCAUCUCCCUCUGAACAAAGCACAUCCUUCGCUUGGGCCACAGGCGAUAACUUCUCAGUCCGAUCAUCAGAAAGAAUUUCAGGCCUACGAAUCGGCUUCUUCCGCUUCGCCAUGGAAGAGAGCAACCCGACCCUUCAGCUUCUUGGUCGUUAUUAUUUUCUUGUAUAAUUUUGAUUCUUAUUUUGUUCAAGUAUAAUUUUUUAUUUCUAUGAGAAUAUUGACGCUGCACACCAUCUGUUUCCAAAUAUGUUUCAAUGAUAAUGUUAGUGUAGCCUGUAGUUUUCUUCUACAUUAUUGUUUGUUCAAGCUUGAAUUAGGUUAAUGUGAGGUGUAAAAAUUACAUAUAUAUUUGGCCAUUGAUAAAUUCUACACUGUGAAAUUCUGAUUCUUGAUGAAGAGAGAAUAAAACAUAUGUGAAUGGGCUCAAAAUACUUGAGAAUGUAUGUCCUCUGAAAAAAGUUGUGAAUUUUAUUUAAUUUUUUUCUUUUUUAGUCAGUCGGUACCAAUCUUAAAUCUUAUUUUGCACAAUUUGAGAGGUUUUAUUCCUAAAGCUGAAUUAGUAAAUAAAAUAAAUAACUUUGGUGACUUGAAAGAAAAUGUAACUUUAAUCUUCAAGAUAUUUUUCUCUUCUUUUAAUCUUGCGUGCUUUUAGAUUACUAGAUUGCUUAGUUUUAUUAUGUUUGGGCCUCAUGAUUAUGACUUCUGCUGAACCCAAUGUAUAUCUUUUGUACUAAUAAUAGAUUUGCAGUGCCAACGCUCUGAAAUCUUCAGCUUACAGUAUUAUUUGAGGUUUGCAGUAGUACCAUUAUCACUAGUUGUAGAGCUCAAUUUUGUGGUGUAUCAAUCAGAAGAGUAUAGUUUCAUUGUUAUUUUUAUGUUUUAACUUUUCUACAUAUAAAAGCUACAAUAUUUGCUUAUGUUUAUCUUGUAAAAAAUAUUACAGGAUGGGAAAGAAUGUAUAUACGAUAAUGGUAAUUUUGUCUCAUUACAAAAUGCACCAUAUUAAACUAUACUAUGAUAUUGGAUUAUGGAAUGGUAGAUGUAACUCCCUACUUCCUUAGAGCCGUU